GAAUCUUCCGCAAUGGACGAAAGUCUGACGGAGCAACGCCGCGUGAGUGAUGAAGGUUUUCGGAUCGUAAAACUCUGUUGUUAGGGAAGAACAAGUAUCGUUCGAAUAGGGCGGUACCUUGACGGUACCUACCCAGAAAGCCACGGCUAACUCCGUUCCACUAUCCGCGGUAAUACGUAGGUGGCAAGCGUUGUCCGGAAUUAUUGGGCGAAAAGCGCGCGCAGGCGGUCUUUUAAGUCUGAUGUGAAAGCCCCCGGCUCAACCGGGGAGGGUCAUUGGAAACUGGGAGACUCGAGUGCAGAAGAGAAGAGUGGAAUUCCACGUGUAGCGGUGAAAUGCGUAGAGAUGUGGAGGAACACCAGUGGCGAAGGCGACUCUUUGGUCUGUAACUGACGCUGAGGCGCGAAAGCGUGGGGAGCAAACAGG
rnacentral:rRNA from 1 species